AGCGAACGCUGGCGGCAGGCUUAACACAUGCAAGUCGAACGGGCAUAGCAAUAUGUCAGUGGCAGACGGGUGAGUAACGCGUGGGAACAUACCUCUUGGUUCGGAACAACACAGGGAAACUUGUGCUAAUACCGGAUAAGCCCUUACGGGGAAAGAUUUAUCGCCGAGAGAUUGGCCCGCGUCUGAUUAGCUAGUUGGUAGGGUAAUGGCCUACCAAGGCGACGAUCAGUAGCUGGUCUGAGAGGAUGAUCAGCCACAUUGGGACUGAGACACGGCCCAAACUCCUACGGGAGGCAGCAGUGGGGAAUAUUGGACAAUGGGCGCAAGCCUGAUCCAGCCAUGCCGCGUGAGUGAUGAAGGCCCUAGGGUUGUAAAGCUCUUUUGUACGGGAAGAUAAUGACGGUACCGUAAGAAUAAGCCCCGGCUAACUUCGUGCCAGCAGCCGCCGUAAC
rnacentral:rRNA from 1 species